AUUGAACGCUGGCGGCAGGCCUAACACAUGCAAGUCGAGCGGAUGAAGGGAGCUUGCUCCUGGAUUCAGCGGCGGACGGGUGAGUAAUGCCUAGGAAUCUGCCUGGUAGUGGGGGAUAACGUCCGGAAACGGGCGCUAAUACCGCAUACGUCCUGAGGGAGAAAGUGGGGGAUCUUCGGACCUCACGCUAUCAGAUGGGCCUAGGUCGGAUUAGCUAGUUGGUGGGGUAAAGGCCUACCAAGGCGACGAUCCGUAACUGGUCUGAGAGGAUGAUCAGUCACACUGGAACUGAGACACGGUCCAGACUCCUACGGGAGGCAGCAGUGGGGAAUAUUGGACAAUGGGCGAAAGCCUGAUCCAGCCACGCCGCGUGUGUGAAGAAGGUCUUCGGAUUGUAAAGCACUUUAAGUUGGGAGGAAGGGCAGUAAGUUAAUACCUUGCUGUUUUGACGUUACCAACAGAAUAAGCACCGGCUAACUUCGUG
rnacentral:rRNA from 1 species